GACGAACGCUGGCGGCGCGCUUAACACAUGCAAGUCGAACGGAAAGGCCGCUUUCCCUUGUGGAUUGCGGGUACUCGAGUGGCGAACGGGUGAGUAACACGUGAGUGAUCUGCCCCCAACUUGGGUAUAAGCCUGGGAAACUGGGUCUAAUUCCCGAUAGGACUGCAGGGUGGUGCCUGUGGUGGAAAACGAUUUUCUAGUGGUUGGGGAUGAGCUCGCGGCCUAUCAGCUUGUUGGUGGGGUAAUGGCCUACCAAGGCGGCGACGGGUAGCCGGCCUGAGAGGGUGGACGGCCACAUUGGGACUGAGAUACGGCCCAGACUCCUACGGGAGGCAGCAGUGGGGAAUAUUGCACAAUGGGCGGAAGCCUGAUGCAGCGACGCCGCGUGGGGGAUGACGGCCUUCGGGUUGUAAACUCCUUUCGACCGCGAGGAAGCCACCUGGUUGGAAGGGUGGUGACGGUAGUGGUAGAAGAAGCACCGGCUAACUACGUG
rnacentral:rRNA from 1 species